AGGUCCCGCCUGCCCUGUGAUUUUUUAACGGCCGCGGUAUCUUGACCGUGCGAAGGUAGCGUAAUCAAUUGUCUUUUAAUUAAAGGCCCGUAUGAAAGGCAUCACGAGAGUUUAACUGUCUUUAUUUCCUAAUCAAUGAAAUUGAUCAUCUCGUGCAGAACCGAGAAUAAAUACAUAAGACGAGAAGACCCUAUGGAGCUUCAAACACUUAAGUUACCUUAACACUAAAAAUUACACCCCAGGGUAUAAAAACCAGAAAUAACCUCUAACUUAACUUGUUUUCGGUUGGGGCGACCAAGGAGUAAAACAAAACCUCCUUAUCGAAUGUGUGAGAAAUCACUCAAAAUUAGAAUUACAAUUCUAAUUAAUAGAAAAUCUAACGAACAAUGACCCAGGACCUCAUCCUGAUCA
rnacentral:rRNA from 1 species